rnacentral:rRNA from 1 species
GACGAACGCUGGCGGCGUGCCUAACACAUGCAAGUCGAACGGAAAGGCCCUGCUUGCAGGGUGCUCGAGUGGCGAACGGGUGAGUAACACGUGGGUGAUCUGCCCCUUACUUUGGGAUAAGCCUGGGAAACUGGGUCUAAUACUGGAUAGGACCAUGCUGUAGGUGGUGUGGUGGAAAGAUUAGUUUCGGUAAGGGAUGAGCUCGCGGCCUAUCAGCUUGCUGGUGGGGUAAUGGCCUACCAAGGCGUCGACGGGUAGCCGGCCUGAGAGGGUGGACGGCCACAUUGGGACUGAGAUACGGCCCAGACUCCGACGGGAGGCAGCAGUGGGGAAUAUUGCACAAUGGGCGCAAGCCUGAUGCAGCGACGCCGCGUGGGGGAUGACGGCCUUCGGGUUGUAAACUCCUUUCAGCCAUGACGAAGCCUUCGGGUGACGGUAGUGGUAGAAGAAGCACCGGCUAACUACGUG